UCUGCCCCCUAAAAGCAUUUCAAAUAUUACUGCUAUGUCAUAUGCACAUCAGUAGGUGGCAGAGAGGAGAGGCCAUGAGUAUGCUCAAUUCUGACCUGUGAACAUCUGAAUGAUUGGUAGCCCAAU